rnacentral:rRNA from 1 species
UACGGGGGGGGCAAGCGUUGUUCGGAAUUACUGGGCUUAAAGGGUUUGUAGGCGGCCUUGUAAGUCAGGUGUGAAAUCCCUCGGCUCAACCGAGGAACAGCGCUUGAUACUGCAAGGCUUGAGGGAGACAGGGGUAAGCGGAACUGAUGGUGGAGCGGUGAAAUGCGUUGAUAUCAUCAGGAACACCGGUGGCGAAAGCGGCUUACUGGGUCUCUUCUGACGCUGAGGAACGAAAGCUAGGGUAGCGAACGGG